AUUUUCUUAGUAUAAUCAGUACAAUUGACUUCCAAUCAAUUAGAUCUAGCAUUAAUCUAGAAGAAAAUA
rnacentral:tRNA from 1 species